CAGCAGCCGCGGUAAUACGUAGGGCGCAAGCGUUAUCCGGAAUUAUUGGGCGUAAAGAGCUCGUAGGCGGUUUGUCGCGUCUGCCGUGAAAGUCCGGGGCUCAACCCCGGAUCUGCGGUGGGUACGGGCAGACUAGAGUGAUGUAGGGGAGACUGGAAUUCCUGGUGUAGCGGUGAAAUGCGCAGAUAUCAGGAGGAACACCGAUGGCGAAGGCAGGUCUCUGGGCAUUAACUGACGCUGAGGAGCGAAAGCAUGGGGAGCGAACAGGAUUAGAUACCCGUGUAGUCCCUGUCUCUUAUAA
rnacentral:rRNA from 1 species